UACGGGAGGGGACAAGCGUUGUCGGAAUUACUGGGCGUAAAGGGCUCGUAGGCGGCCAACUAAGUCAGACGUGAAAUCCCUCGGCUUAACCGGGGAACUGCCUCUGAUACUGGAUGGCUUGAGAUUGGGAGAGGGAUGCGGAAUUCCAGGUGUAGCGGUGAAAUGCGUAGAUAUCUGGAGGAACACCGGUGGCGAAGGCGGCAUCCUGGACCAACACUGACGCUGAGGAGCGAAAGCCAGGGGAGCAAACGGG
rnacentral:rRNA from 1 species